rnacentral:rRNA from 1 species
AUUGAACGCUGGCGGCAUGCCUUACACAUGCAAGUCGAACGGCAGCACGGGAGCAAUCCAGGUGGCGAGUGGCGAACGGGUGAGUAAAGUAUCGGAACGUGCCCAGUCGUGGGGGAUAACGUAGCGAAAGUUACGCUAAUACCGCAUACGAUCUAGGGAUGCAAGCGGGGGAUCGCAAGACCUCGCGCGAUUGGAGCGGCCGAUAUCAGAUUAGGUAGUUGGUGGGGUAAAGGCUCACCAAGCCGACGAUCUUUGGCUGGUCUGAGAGGACGACCAGCCACACUGGGACUGAGACACGGCCCAGACUCCUACGGGAGGCAGCAGUGGGGAAUUUUGGACAAUGGGCGAAAGCCUGAUCCAGCCAUGCCGCGUGCAGGAUGAAGGCCUUCGGGUUGUAAACUGCUUUUGUACGGAACGAAAAGGUUUGGGCUAAUAAGCUGAGCUCAUGACGGUACCGUAAGAAUAAGCACCGGCUAACUACGUGCCAGCCGCCGCGGUAA